CCUACGGGAGGCAGCAGUCGAGAAUUAUUCACAAUGGGGGAAACCCUGAUGGUGCGACGCCGCGUGGAGGAAUGAAGGUCUUCGGAUUGUAAACCCCUGUCAUGUGGGAGCAAAUUAAAAAGAUAGUACCACAAGAGGAAGAGACGGCUAACUCUGUGCCAGCAGCCGCGGUAAUACAGAGGUCUCAAGCGUUGUUCGGAAUCACUGGGCGUAAGGCGUGCGUAGGCUGUUUGGUAAGUCGUGUGUGAAAGGCGCGGGCUCAACCCGCGGACGGCACAUGAUACUGCGAGACUAGAGUAAUGGAGGGGGAACCGGAAUUCUCGGUGUAGCAGUGAAAUGCGUAGAUAUCGAGAGGAACACUCGUGGCGAAGGCGGGUUCCUGGACAUUAACUGACGCUGAGGCACGAAGGCCAGGGGAGCGAAAGGGAUUAGAUACCCUUGUAGUC
rnacentral:rRNA from 1 species